GCACAGCCUGUGCGCGCUCCUCUGCCGGCUUCGUGCCAUUCCCCUGAGUCACGCUGACUCGGAGGAAGAAAAAAACACCCCGCCGCGCCGCUUUUUGUCGAGCAAGCUGCUAGUCCUGGCUGACGCCGACGCCCCUCCCCCUGCCCUCUCCUCCGCGCCGGCUGCUCGCCGUACCUCGCGCCGGCUGGGCUGCUGGGCGCUCUUCCCGGGCGCCGGCUCCUGGGGUAACCCUGCCCGUGCCGGGGCGUCGCCCUGGCCUUCUCCCUGGAGCAUGGAUUGCGUUACGAGCAUCGCACACGCACACCCGCCGCCGGCAGAGAUGCAAAGCGAGCGGGAAGAAGAGGACGGGACCGCGAUCCCCUCCUGGAGCCGCCCGGUCCAAGCAUGCUUCUCGCUGCCCGGGGGAGCAGGCGAGGGGAAACCCCGCGCGCAGCCUUGAAAAUGACCCGCCAGCAAGGGGGUGGGACCCGGAGGCUUUUCCGGACACACGCGCGGAGGGGGCGGGCGGGAGACGGACUCUGCCUGCUGCUGCGGCCAGGAACUGCCUGCGAGUGACGCGCGGAAAUUGACCAGCCCGCGGGAGGAGAUUGACUAAAGAGAGAGAGAUGGCGGAAGGGGAGCCCUGACCUCCCUGCCAGGGCGCAGACCCCGGCUCUGUUUGCGGUCCGAGCGGGCGCUGGUGAAUAGCGUCUCACUGGCCCCUGCGACUGGGCAGAAGGUGUGACUCCCUCACCCCGCCUCGCCUGGGGAAAUAAAACGUGAUAACCCCCUUGAUCUGGGAUUGGUCCACCUCUGUCUGAAUACUGCUUACCAUGAAGACCCUAUCUGGGAUCAACUGGAAGGCAGUCCAUUUCCAUUUUGCAUCACCCUAAGCUUGUGAGAAAGAAUGACCUUGUCACUUCAGAUGGACCUAGGAACACCCUGUUUUAGGCUGGCAGCGACUCUCCAGAGUUUCAGGCAGGCGUCUUUCCCAGCUGUACCUAGAGAUGAACCUGCUGCCUUUUGCAUGCAAAGCAGAUGCUGGACUAAUGACCCAUAGUCCUUCCCCAUACCAUAGUCCAGAGCUUCUCCACCCCUGUUUUAAGCUGCUGAGAUGCGCUAAUGUAAACCAGAACGUGGAACUUUGCUGGAAGCCGCUGUGAACCUGAGCUUUGGUGUAAUGGAACAUGAAUGAAUCUGGCUCCCAAGCAGCCAAAUGCGACACUGCUACUUAUAAUAAUGAGCAGAAGAAUCUGCCAAACAUAAAGUAAUGGGGGGGGAGCAGGGGAAGAUGUGCAUUGUUUGAACUGUUUGACAUCAUAAAAGAAGAUCCACACUUGGGAUGUUUAUGCCCUAGAUUGUUAUUUUCUGAUAAUGUACCUGGUUAAAAUAAAGUUUUCCCUCUGGAUGCA